rnacentral:antisense_RNA from 1 species
CUGUUAACGGAAAAAAGUCACCUGGGCGCGGCUUUUUCGAUCCUACACUAGCUGUUAAAACCGCGGUAUCACCAAAGCGAACUAGCGCGGCUCCACUCGCUUGUUUGGCAAGUUGUCCAACCUCAACGGCAAGCGUCUUACCAGCAAGUUCUGUUGUAAAGACUUGUUUUUCAGACAUAUUUUCACUUCUCCUUUUCUUCGGAGCGCAGAACUUUACCAUGCAUCAAUUCUUUCAUGCACACCUUGUUUUAAAAGGCACGCAUGAAUCCAAAAAACCUGCUAAAAAACCUUUUAGCACGUUUUUGGAUUCAUG